CUUCCACUUCCACCAAGGAUCUUGUUGCUGUGUCUUAGUCCUGCUGGGGAGUACAAUCUUUGACUUGGAAUUAUAAAGGAACUGCAUCCUGACAUGGUUGCUACUUAUUCAAGCAGGAGGCUGCAGUAGUAAAAGACAGCAGCCAAAGCAUGAUAUCAGGCAAUGAUUUUAAAUAUUGAUUACACUGAGUUAGAGAACUUCUCCAAGUGGCUUGUUGUCUCUUACUGGUUUCCUUUCUCUUUAACAUUUUCAUAUAAUUAUAUGGAUGUG